GAUGAACGCUAGCGGCAGGCCUAACACAUGCAAGUCGAGGGGUAGAAGUUUUCGGACUUUGAGACCGGCGCACGGGUGCGUAACGCGUAUGCAAUCUGCCUUGUACUGAGGGAUAGCCCAGAGAAAUUUGGAUUAACACCUCAUAGUAUUUUAGUGUGGCAUCACAUUAUUAUUAAAGGUUACGGUACAAGAUGAGCAUGCGUCCCAUUAGCUAGUUGGUAUGGUAACGGCAUACCAAGGCUACGAUGGGUAGGGGUCCUGAGAGGGAGAUCCCCCACACUGGUACUGAGACACGGACCAGACUCCUCCGGGAGGCAGCAGUGAGGAAUAUUGGUCAAUGGGCGCAAGCCUGAACCAGCCAUGCCGCGUGCAGGAUGAAGCAUCUAUGGUGUGUAGACUGCUUUUGUACGGGAAGAAACACUCCCUCGUGAGGGAACUUGACGGUACCGUAAGAAUAAGGAUCGGCUAACUUCGUGCCAGCCGCCGCGGUAAUAC
rnacentral:rRNA from 1 species